GGAGAGCCAAAAGCUGAUUGGUUAAUAAGCACAGAUCACACACUCACACCUCACAAAGCCUGAUAGCCUUCCCUUCCACUUUGCUUCUUUAUCUUUGUUUUCCUUUCCUCCUAUAAAUACUCCUCAGUUCAUUCCCACGGUUUAUUUCUCUCAACAAUCUAUAACGAUCCCUACCCACGAAGGACGCCAAGGAACUUUGAAGAUACUAGUAUCAGAGGGGCACAUCAGCAUUUUUUCAAUUGUACAUUGCGUGAAUUGCAGGGAGGGAGGGAAGGAGCAUUUGAGGCAAAGAGAGUGGUGGACAUCCAUCCCGAGUCCAGACAUGAGUCUAGCAUGUCUUGUGUGCCAUAGUGUAGAAAGCCCAUCUCAUUCAUUUAGGAGUUACUCGGUCUCAAGUUCAGACAAUGAAGGAAGAUGCUCUGCAAUUGCCAACUGCCUGGCCAGGAGGGCAUCUCUUCCAGCCCCAACAGCAAACUCCUCGAUCAUACGGUCAUCCAAAGUGACACCGCACCCAUCCAUCCCCAACAGUAGCGGCAUUCCAGGGACGCCAAGGCUGGUCCGGAGCUGUGCAGUGAGAAGGGACAUUGUGAGGGACUGGAAUUUCGAUGAGGUAGUGAUGGAGCAUUAGUAUUUUACUAGUAGCAAGUAUGAAAUAUAGCUAGCUGCUUUGUUUUGGGUGCAACUGGACCCUCAACUUCUUCUCUGUACAAGAAGAGUUUGAGCCUCUGCCUCUGCAAUCAUCCCAGACAAAAAUCCAAUGUGAAACUUUGUUCAUAUUUUGGCUAAUCGCAUUCCCUUCUAUAA